GACGAACGCUGGCGGCGUGCUUAACACAUGCAAGUCGUACGGUAAGGCCCUUUCGGGGGUACACGAGUGGCGAACGGGUGAGUAACACGUGAGUAACCUGCCCACAACUUUGGGAUAACGCUAGGAAACUGGUGCUAAUACUGGAUAUGUGCUCCUGCUGCAUGGUGGGGGUUGGAAAGCUCCGGCGGUUGUGGAUGGACUCGCGGCCUAUCAGCUUGUUGGUGGGGUAGUGGCCUACCAAGGCGGCGACGGGUAGCCGGCCUGAGAGGGUGACCGGCCACAUUGGGACUGAGAUACGGCCCAGACUCCUACGGGAGGCAGCAGUGGGGAAUAUUGCACAAUGGGCGCAAGCCUGAUGCAGCAACGCCGCGUGCGGGAUGACGGCCUUCGGGUUGUAAACCGCUUUCAGCAGGGACGAAGCUUUUUGUGACGGUACCUGCAGAAGAAGCGCCGGCUAACUACGUG
rnacentral:rRNA from 1 species